GAUGAACGCUGGCGGCGUGCUUAACACAUGCAAGUCAAACGAUGAAGCCCAGCUUGCUGGGUGGAUUAGUGGCGAACGGGUGAGUAACACGUGAGUAACCUGCCCUUAACUCUGGGAUAAGCCUGGGAAACUGGGUCUAAUACCGGAUAGGAGCGUCCACCGCAUGGUGGGUGUUGGAAAGAUUUAUCGGUUUUGGAUGGACUCGCGGCCUAUCAGCUUGUUGGUGAGGUAAUGGCUCACCAAGGCGACGACGGGUAGCCGGCCUGAGAGGGUGACCGGCCACACUGGGACUGAGACACGGCCCAGACUCCUACGGGAGGCAGCAGUGGGGAAUAUUGCACAAUGGGCGCAAGCCUGAUGCAGCGACGCCGCGUGAGGGAUGACGGCCUUCGGGUUGUAAACCUCUUUCAGUAGGGAAGAAGCGAAAGUGGCGGUACCUGCAGAAGAAGCACCGGCUAACUACGUG
rnacentral:rRNA from 1 species